UAAUGCCCAGCAUAACGUACGCAAAAGAGCCAUAUAGACAAUAAUAUAGACAUAAAAUUUAUUUAAGAAGUACUAACGUUUCGUCUUUAACCUAAGACAUCUUCAGAGUAAAGAGUUAAAGACGAAUAAAAAAUUACAAAAUAAAUGACAAAUAAAUUUUAUGUCUAUAUUAUUGUCUAUAUGACUCUUUUGCGUACGUUAUGCUAGGCAUUA